CUUUUUUGCCAUUAUGUAGUUUUCUCACUCAAUAAAUACUAAAAGCCCAAAUAAAGUAAAAAUGUGUUGAUAUUAACAAGGAUAUUCCAAUAAAGAAGUAGUUUGGGAAACAUUCAUCUAGAACUAUCUGGCAAUAUAAUGAGCCUCUUUGUGAGGUAAUGGCAGCUGAAACCUAAAAGGUUGUUGGGCAUGCAUUUAAGGCAGGAAGUCAUGGUCCCUGCUCAAAGUCUGAGGAUCUAACUAGACCAACUGCAUGGCUCAGUGGAAGUUUCGGGUAGACAUGCUUGCAGAUGAAGAUGAAGAAACUGACCAGUUAAUCAACUAGCUCAAGGUCAUGCAGCUGGCAAAUGGCAGAGCCAGGACUCGAAUCCAGGCAUUCUGGCUCCAGUACUCAAAAACUGCACAAUAAUCUGCGUCACUCCAAAAUAGGAAAGGAUGACAAAUGUUGCAGGGCCGUCCAGGAAGCUGAGGAUUGAAAAGCGCCUACUGGAUUAGGCACUACGGCCACUGUGAACUCAGCAAGAACUCGCUGCAGUCAACAGUAGGUGCUAAUGAACUGCUCAACAUUAUCAGUGCCUAGGCUCAGCUCUUUUGCGCCAGCAGAGUGCCAUAAGCACGGCCCCUCCCAGCCCCUGCUUACAUUGUCCUCCUCCUCCCACUCCUGCUCCAGACUUGUGUCAGAAAGAGGAGACUCACUCCCUAACUGUAGUCGGGAAAGACAAGACCUACGGCUCCAGCUUCCCAAGGGGGUGAAGAGAUGUGUGGGGUGCCUCUUCAUAACUCAGCAAUUGCACCCAGGCACAGAUUUACACACAUUUGGACCUCAACUCAAUAUCUAUGUCCAGCUUAGUCUCAGCAAAUCUUCAAGCAUUCACAGCUGUCUUCAGGUGCGCAGGGGAUUACUGCGGAGAGAUGUUGAUCGGCUGUUCUCCAUGUCUCCUGUGGUCAGAACAAAAGGAAAGAGGCUUAAAUGUCAGCAAGGGAUUUAAAUGUAAGUGAGAACUCUGUGAGGCAGGGAGGUCCUGUGUACACAAGCAAGAGUUUCCAGCCUUUUUGUCUUAUUUAGCCCUAAAUAUCCCCUUUGCCAUCGUACUACCUCUUUUUGUUUAUUAAAACAAAAAAUACAAAAAC
ensembl:lncRNA